rnacentral:rRNA from 1 species
UACGUAGGGGGCAAGCGUUGUCCGGAAUUAUUGGGCGUAAAGAGCGUGUAGGCGGCCAGAUAAGUCCGCUGUGAAAUCUCGAGGCUCAACUUCGAGCUGUCGGUGGAAACUGUCUGGCUAGAGUCCGGAAGAGGAGAAUGGAAUUCCUGGUGUAGCGGUGAAAUGCGCAGAUAUCAGGAAGAACACCCGUGGCGAAGGCGGUUCUCUGGGCAGUAACUGACGCUGAGGAGCGAAAGCGUGGGGAGCGAACAGG